GGGGUUGUGGCUCCGUGGUAGAGCACUCGCCUGGCAUGUGGGAGGCACUGGGUUCGAUCCUCAGCACCACA
rnacentral:tRNA from 1 species